AUACGGAGGGGGCUAGCGUUGUUCGGAAUCACUGGGCGUAAAGCGCACGUAGGCGGCCUCGCAAGUCGGGUGUGAAAUCCCCUGGCUCACCCAGGGAACUGCGUCCGAUACUGCGGGGCUUGAGGACAGGAGGGGAGAGCGGAACUUCUGGUGGAGCGGUGAAAUGCGUAGAUAUCAGAAGGAACACCGGUGGCGAAAGCGGCUCUCUGGUCUGUCCCUGACGCUGAGGUGCGAAAGCUAGGGGAGCAAACGGGAUUAGAAACCCCAGUAGUCC
rnacentral:rRNA from 1 species